CUCAUCUAGGGGUCUUGUUAAAAUGCAGAUUCUGAUUAAACAGAUUUGAAUCCAAGUGAGCCCUAAGUUUCUGCAUUUCUGACAAGAUCCCAGCUGAUGCUAU
rnacentral:pre_miRNA from 1 species